rnacentral:rRNA from 1 species
GAUGAACGCUGGCGGCGUGCUUAACACAUGCAAGUCGAACGAAGCACUUAAGAUUGAUUCUUCGGAUGACGUCUUUUGUGACUUAGUGGCGGACGGGUGAGUAACGCGUGGGUAACCUGCCUCACACAGGGGGAUAACAGUUAGAAAUGACUGCUAAUACCGCAUAACCCGAUAGGAUCGCAUGAUCCAGACGGAAAAGAUUUAUCGGUGUGAGAUGGACCCGCGUCUGAUUAGCUAGUUGGUGAGGUAACGGCCCACCAAGGCGACGAUCAGUAGCCGGGCUGAGAGGGUGAACGGCCACAUUGGGACUGAGACACGGCCCAAACUCCUACGGGAGGCAGCAGUGGGGAAUAUUGCACAAUGGGGGAAACCCUGAUGCAGCGACGCCGCGUGAGUGAAGAAGUAUUUCGGUAUGUAAAGCUCUAUCAGCAGGGAAGAAAAUGACGGUACCUGACUAAGAAGCCCCGGCUAACUACGUG